UUCUCUGCCGUCAGCUCUGAUUUUCUUCCCCGAGCAAACAUGAGCUCAGUUGUGCAGGGGUUCACAAAGUCUCUCGUCAUGACUUUACUAUCCGAGAUCGGCGACAAGACCUUUUUCGCCGCAGCGAUCUUGGCAAUGCGUCACCCGAGAAGACUUGUUUUGUCUGGUUGCCUAGCUGCUUUGAUUGUGAUGACUAUUCUUUCUGCUGUUGUUGGCUGGGCUGCUCCAAAUCUGGUAGGCCAUCUAAUUGCUACCUGAAAGUUGUUUAUAUGUGUAGGUUAAUGUGGAGACGCUUUUGGAGCACCCAAACAUGAUAAAUCGAGGAUGAAUUACAUCUCUUUUAUGUGUUCUACAAGUUGUUAUGAAAUAAUUAAUAGAUUUGUAUUCUUCAUCUCUUACUUUAAAGAUAUACUUUCUUGAAAUGACAAACAUAAGGUGAUUUAUAGCAUUGGGAUACAACUUUUGGCUUUCCUUUGCUCAGGCAUUCUAGGCUGCAAUCAUGCUACUUGAUAGUCCACCAAUAUCACUGGUGUACAGCUAUAGCUUCUUCCCUGGCUUCAUCUCUCUUUCUUUCUCUCUUUGUAACUUGAUCUUCUGUCAGUUGUUUAAUUAUCAAAGUAAAGUAAUGUACAUAGAAGCCUUGCAGUUUGUUUAGUCUGUAGAUAUUGAUGAAUGUUUAACAGAUGAUAUUAUAUUGUCAGGAUCCUAAUUCCUUUGGUUAUGACAACCUGCGAAAUUUUGCUGAAUGACAUUUCUUAUGAGCUAGUUUGACAUGGGACAAGGGCGGGAAGCCUGACUUGAGGCUUAAAGUUGUAGUUUUAGGGUUUUAUUAGGCAGACAAUGAACUAAAGAUAUUGAUUUUAAUUUGAAAAUCAUUGUUUCAUGUGGAUGAUUAUAUGGUUAUCCCAUGGUCGGAAAUUCAGAAUUCAGAUGAUCAGAACCUGUUCAGGUAUGAACUAUAGCAUCUUUGCCAUAUCAGCCUUAAUCUCACAUGAUUAUUAAUUUUAUCUAUUAUUUAAUCAAUGUCAUGCUUGUAAACGACUUUAUCAAUUUUGUGAUUCAUCAAGUUUGGAUUCCUAGAUUAAUCAAUGGAAGUAAGUUCAUAACCUAUUUCUUGUCAUUAGCUAGUAAUUUUGUUCUUUUGCAAACUGUAGUUCUCCUAGGUCAUUUUUUUGUGGAUUUGGAAUGGUUUGAAUUUUGUGAAGGGUCUUAAUCUUUUCAUACUUUGUGAGAAUGCAUCAUAAGAACAUAUAAAGAGUUUUUGAAUGUAAUUUAAUUUCGAUGAAUUCCUUAUUAUGCUAUAUAUUCAUUAUAUGUGUAUGUCUUUUCUAGAACAUUUUCCAUAUCUCAUAUGUCAUUUGUAAUGAAAUGAUGAAUUAGUCAUGUAGUAUGUGUUCAAAAUUAAUGGUGUAUGCAUUUGAACUUGUUAAGACAUACACUUAAAAUCAUGUGUCAAUUCGUUUUACAUUUGUUAACUGAAUUUGAGGUAAUAUUAAAUAAUGCAGCUCUCUCGCACAUGGACUCAUCACAUAACAACUGUAUUGUUUUUUGGAUUUGGUAUUUGGUCCUUGUGGGAUGGAUUUACUGACAAAGGGUACUAAUUUUUUUGUUCUCAUCAUUUUCUUAUUUACUUUGAUUUUGCACUCAUCUUCACUUUAGAAGAUGUAUUAGAGGUUAAUUAUGUGUUUAUCCUACAGGGAGGCUGAAGAAUUGGCUGAAGUUGAAGCAAAAUUGGUUUGUUUAUGCCCUGUAAUGAGUUUUAGAUUUAAGUGGAAUCCUAUUUUACUUUGCCUUUGUUUUGUUCUUAGAAUGCUGAUUGGAAAGCUAACACAGGAACAACCAAAGAGGAUGUCAAGGUAGAAAAACAAUGUUAACAAUGCCUAUUUGCUCGACAAAUUCUGAAGAUGCUUGUUUUUCUAAUAAGACUUUAUUUUGUUCUUUGCUCUUCUGGUUGACUGUACUUGAUAUUUCCAUUUUGGUAGUUUCCCUUCCAAAAUAUUUCUCCAAUAAGAGAUAAAUACUUUUACCUCGAAACUAAAGGGGAUGUCUAGAUAGUAUAAAUUUUAUUUGUUAGGUAAGCUAUUAUCCUAAAUAGGAUUUCUUAAAUGUUAUGCCAGUAAUUGGCCCAGAUAUGGUACAUGGCUGAACAAAGAUAAUGUGUAUAUUUCUUUUCAAAGUGCAGGCAGGCUGGUGUCCUUGUUAUAUGGUGUCAAGCUUUUAUGCCAGUGGAUGUUUGUAGAAGCAUUAAUUCUGAUAAUCUUGAGAUUUUAUGAUAGGAAGGAAUCAGCUUCCUGUUUCCAAAAUGUUACAUUCAUGCUCAUCUUAUAUAUGACAUAAUGCUUAGUUAUGCCUUAAUUGGAAUCAUGAGAACUGUAAUGUUCUGUAUUGAAAUUUUUUAAACUUGGCUUUGUAUUUUAAACUUUUCUCCCAGGUUGAUGAUGAAUUGAAGAAGCAAAGACGACCAUUUCUUUCACAGUUCUUCUCACCUAUAUUCUUGAAGGUAAAUAUUAUUUGUAAACUACAAGAUUAAAUUCUGUUAAGCUAAUGAAAUUCAUCAUGCCUAUUUUGCAGGCAUUUUCCAUUACAUUCUUUGGUGAAUGGGGUGACAAGAGCCAGAUAGCAACCAUUGGUUUGGCUGCAGAUGAGAACCCAUUUGGUGUUGUUUUUGGUGGAAUUCUAGGCCAAGCAUUGUGUACUACUGCUGCUGUUGUUGGAGGAAAAAGCCUGGCAUCUCAGAUAUCUGAGAGAAUAGUAAUUAUAAUUGCUUAUGUUCUAUUGUGGUUUAUAUAGGAAUGGCAAAGGGAUGGGAUGGGUUUUUGUUGUUCCAUCCUUUUUGCCAUUGAGAAAUCAGGGUGGGUGCUAGGUGUGGAAAACAAGUCUGGGCCCGGAGUGGGUAUCCGUCUUUUGUUUUUACACAUAUAAAUGAUUUUUUUAAAAAAAAAAUUCAUAUUCUUAUAUGUUAUCAUCAAUUGCUAAAUGCAUAUAAAUGAAUAAAUUUUGGGGAAAAAAGAAUAACAUGGAGUUGCCAUCUUUAGGUUGAUGUAUUAUUUUGCAGCAAAGCAUUUGACAACACAUCUAAAGUCAUAAUUUUUUGUGGUUCAGGUUGCCCUGUCAGGUGGAGUUCUUUUUAUAAUUUUUGGGAUCCAGUCCUUCCUUUCAACAGCUGAGUCAGGAGGCUCCUGAUCUUGCUAAUGGUUAGUAGUUCCAAAACAUUCACAACGUAGAAGUCACUGGCUAUUAAAUACUCAGGUGGGAAGAAAUAAUAAAAUACACUCUUUAUGUACUAAUUUGUGUAUGACUACAAAACGAAAGUCCAAUUGAGUAUUCAUAAUUGGUCGAGUGUUAGCAUUUUUGGUGGUGCGGAAUAGCAUCCAAGUUUCCUUCUCACUUCAGGCAUUAGCCACGGAGAAAUAAAGCCCCAAUAUGUCUCUCUAUUUGCAUCUUGGAGCGGUAUCUAGGAAUUGAUUUAGCGCUACUGCUCUUAAACUGGGAAGGCUUUCCUAUUGUUCAUCAUAUGAGAGAACUCCCAGGGUAUUACUGCACGCUGCCGCACACACAUGGUCAUGAUAGUGGAUGCUGGCUAACAUACUUUGUGCUGACAAAAACUGAUGAUUACCAUUUGUGGUUGCAUCUUUUCAGGGUUGAAAGCUGAUUAGGUGGAUUGAAAAGAUUUAGAAACAUUGAGAAUAUUGCCAUUAGCCAAUUCCACAGCAUUAUAUGAUUAUUUGAAAGCAAUUGUACAAUCAGAAACAAAACUGAUUCAAUUAGCUAAUUAACAUGUUUGAUUGACAUGAUCAAGCAGCAUGUUGUAUUAUUUGCAUUUUUGGCAAUGGCUGUCCAUUUGUUGCUGUUACAUCUGCUCCGUUUGGUGUAAGCUACUAAAAUAAGGAUUCUGUUGGAUACUGAAAUUCCUUAUUCCGUUAGUCAAUUUGAGGCACUUAAUUUGCU
rnacentral:misc_RNA from 1 species